rnacentral:rRNA from 1 species
GAUGAACCCUUGGCGGCGUGCUUAACACAUGCAAGUCGAACGAUGAAGCCCAGCUUGCUGGGUGGAUUAGUGGCGAACGGGUGAGUAACACGUGAGUAACCUGCCCUUAACUCUGGGAUAAGCCUGGGAAACUGGGUCUAAUACCGGAUAGGAGCGUCCACCGCAUGGUGGGUGUUGGAAAGAUUUAUCGGUUUUGGAUGGACUCGCGGCCUAUCAGCUUGUUGGUGAGGUAAUGGCUCACCAAGGCGACGACGGGUAGCCGGCCUGAGAGGGUGACCGGCCACACUGGGACUGAGACACGGCCCAUACUCCUACGGGAGGCAGCAGUGGGGAAUAUUGCACAAUGGGCGCAAGCCUGAUGCAGCGACGCCGCGUGAGGGAUGACGGCCUUCGGGUUGUAAACCUCUUUCAGUAUGGAAGAAGCGAAAGUGACGGUACCUGCAGAAGAAGCACCGGCUAACUACGUGCCAUCAACCGCGGUUAUACGUAGGGUGCCGAGGCGUUAUCCGGAAUUUUGGGCGUAAAAAGCUCGUAGGCGGUUUGUCCCGUCUGUCGUGAAAAUCUGGGGCUUUACCCCGGAUCUGCGGUGGGGUCGGGCCGACUAUAUUGCAGUAGGGGAGACUGGAAUUCCUGGUGUAGCGGUGGAAUGCGCAGAUAUCAGGAGGAACACCGAUGGCGAAGGCAGGUCUCUGGGCUGUAACUGACGCUGAGGAGCGAAAGCAUGGGGAGCGAACAGGAUUAGAUACCCUGGUAGUCCAUGCCGUAAACGUUGGGCACUAGGUGUGGGGACCAUUCCACGGUUUCCGCGCCGCAGCUAACGCAUUAAGUGCCCCGCCUGGGGAGUACGGCCGCAAGGCUAAAACUCAAAGGAAUUGACGGGGGCCCGCACAAGCGGCGGAGCAUGCGGAUUAAUUCGAUGCAACGCGAAGAACCUUACCAAGGCUUGACAUGUUCUCGAUCGCCGUAGAGAUACGGUUUCCCCUUUGGGGCGGGUUCACAGGUGGUGCAUGGUUGUCGUCAGCUCGUGUCGUGAGAUGUUGGGUUAAGUCCCGCAACGAGCGCAACCCUCGUUCCAUGUUGCCAGCACGUAAUGGUGGGGACUCAUGGGAGACUGCCGGGGUCAACUCGGAGGAAGGUGAGGACGACGUCAAAUCAUCAUGCCCCUUGUGUCUUGGGCUUCACGCAUGCUACAAUGGCCGGUACAAUGGGUUGCGAUACUGUGAGGUGGAGCUAAUCCCAAAAAGCCGGUCUCAGUUCGGAUUGGGGUCUGCAACUCGACCCCAUGAAGUCGGAGUCGCUAGUAAUCGCAGAUCAGCAACGCUGCGGUGAAUACGUUCCCGGGCCU